UGGGGAAUUUUGGACAAUGGGCGAAAGCCUGAUCCAGCAAUGCCGCGUGUGUGAAGAAGGCCUUCGGGUUGUAAAGCACUUUUGUCCGGAAAGAAAUCCUUGGCUCUAAUACAGUCGGGGGAUGACGGUACCGGAAGAAUAAGCACCGGCUAACUACGUGCCAGCAGCCGCGGUAAUACGUAGGGUGCAAGCGUUAAUCGGAAUUACUGGGCGUAAAGCGUGCGCAGGCGGUUUGCUAAGACCGAUGUGAAAUCCCCGGGCUCAACCUGGGAACUGCAUUGGUGACUGGCAGGCUAGAGUAUGGCAGAGGGGUAGAAUUCCACGUGUAGCAGUGAAAUGCGUAGAGAUGUGGAGGAAUACCGAUGGCGAAGGCAGCCCCCUGGGCCAAUACUGACGCUCAUGCACGAAAGCGUGGGGAGCAAACAGGAUUAGAUACCCUGGUAGUCCACGCCCUAAAACGAUGUCAACUAGUUGUUGGGGAUUCAUUUCCUUAGUAACGUAGCUAACGCGUGAAGUUGACCGCCUGGGGAGUACGGUCGCAAGAUUAAAACUCAAAUGAAUUGACGGGGUCAUAGCUGUUUCCU
rnacentral:rRNA from 1 species